UACGGAGGUGCGAGCGUUGUCCGGAAUCAUUGGGCGUAAAGGGCGCGUAGGUGGCCCGGUCAGUUCGUGGUGAAAGCGCGGGGCUCAACCCUGCGUCGGCCAUGAAUACUGCCGCGGCUGGAGCACUGUAGAGGCAGGCGGAAUUCCAGGUGUAGCGGUGAAAUGCGUAGAUAUCUGGAGGAACACCGGUGGCGAAGGCGGCAUCCUGGACCGGCAUUGACGCUGAGGAGCGAAAGCCAGGGGAGCAAAGCGGG
rnacentral:rRNA from 1 species